rnacentral:rRNA from 1 species
UACGGGAGGGUGCGAGCGUUGUCCGGAAUCACUGGGCGUAAAGGGCGCGUAGGCGGCCUGAUAAGUAGGGGUGAAUCCUGCGGCUUAACCGCAGGGCUGCCUUCUAAACUGUCAGGCUAGAGCACAGUAGAGGCAGGUGGAAUUCCCGGUGGUAGCGGUGGAAUGCGUAGAGAUCGGGAAGAACAUCAGUGGACGAGGCCGGCCUGCUGGGCUGUUGCUGACGCUGAGCGCGACAGCGUGGGGAGCAA